ACACACAUACACACACACACACACACACACACACAUAUAUAUAUAUAUAUAUAUAGAGUCCGGCUAUUAUGCUAUUAAUAGCACGAAGCACUUUAUGCUACCAAGUUUUCCACCAUUAGAUCUACCAUUUUGAUUAUUUUCAUCCGUUAGAUCAUACUAUUCAACAAACCACCCACUAAACCCUAGGGGGCCCACAUCAUCCUAACUACACAUCUCUUAAUCCAAUGGCUCAAAACUUGGUAGUACAAAGUGCUUGGUGCUAUUAAUAGCAUAGUAGCCUAGUUCUAUAUAUAUAUACACAACAAUAAAAACAAAAGCAAUAGUACAACCAUA
rnacentral:lncRNA from 1 species